GAGAACAUAGUUAUUAAACCCGGCCCGGCCUGACGGGUCGACCUGGUGGUUGGACCGGUUCGGGUUUAAUAAAAAACUGGCCAGGACAAUAACCCGGCAAAACCCGGUCGACCCGGUAGGUCGACCCAUGACCCGGAAGACCCGGGCAAACCCGGACAAGACCCGGUGAGAGAUCUGAAAAGUGCAGCUCCUUCAUGUGCUCCCUGACUGCCCUCCUCCUUGAACUCGUUCCAGGCAUGUGAUGUAUUUGUUGAAUAAAAGAAUGUGUACUGUUGACCAGAUGAGAGAUCUAAAAAAUGAAAAGCCUUUUCUUGCUUCGCUUACAUGCUUGUUCUAUGAGUGGACUACUCCAUGAAGGAAUAGUCCUUAAUGUCAUAUACUGGAUGCUCGAGGCUCCCCCAAUUGAAAGCUGCGACAGUUGGGGAGUUUCAAGAAGACCGAUGAGCACCCAUUGAUCGAGUUAGGGAGUGAAGAUUGAUGACUGUAACUUGAAGGAAAUUAAAGGUUAAAAGAGACCAAACUCACAGUUUCAGGAGAGAGAGAGAGGCAACAGGUAGCAGACUGUUUUUAAUUUCUGGGUUUGUGUGGUGUUUGGUUGCUUGUAAUGAAGCCAGAGAGGGUAGAUAAACUUUAUGAGAAGACGGUGAUGAGAUUAAGAGCCCGCACAAAACAAACGACAUGAUGCAUACGGUGUAUU
rnacentral:lncRNA from 1 species